GCUUAGCACUUAGCUAACGUUAGCAGUCCUCUUAAAUCUGCUUUUUGUCAAUGAACCUAAUCUUUAAACAGUUUAGCUUGUAACUGACAUUGUGGCAUUGUGUGUAUUCAUAAAAAAUAAAAUAAAAAUGAAAUAGCUGCUCUGCCUCACAGCCAGACUUGCUGUUAUAGCAGCAUUUUACCAUUUACUGAGUUUUUUUGUCUCUGUACACUGUAACCUUGAACCCACUAACUCACAGUUUGUCACUGGUUUUCUCAACAGAACAUCGAUACUGCUGUGCGCUUUUGAUUGUGUUGGUUACCCCCGUGGCAACUCGACAGUCCGCUGGCCUCCAGCUCCUCUCCCUCUCCAUCUAUCUAUGAGAUCAUUCACCUCUCUCCUAUCACUCUACCCACUCAUCCCUUAAUAUAAGACGUUCUAUCUCUCCUGUCAUAUCUAAUAUAUCUAUCUAAAUUUUGGAAAUUCUAUCAUUCUAUCCCUCUAAUUCUAUCCCGCUCUAUCUCCUUGCAUUCUUGCAAGAAACCUGUUUUUUUGGAACGAUAUAUUUGAAACUUGUCUUUUGGAACCUGAUAUUAACAGAUUACUGGUAUCUGUUUUGGAUUCAUGGGUUGAUUGGAACCUGAUCAUUCUGUUUUAUGGUUCUGUGAGUUUCUCUGCUCACACUUUUUCUACCUCUCCUGUCUCUCUCUCACACACAUUUGAUUUGGCCUUUUCAAUUGGCAAAAAC